rnacentral:rRNA from 1 species
AGAGUUUGAUCAUGGCUCAGAUUGAACGCUGGCGGCAGGCUUAACACAUGCAAGUCGAGCGGUAGCAGGCCUUCGGGUGCUGACGAGCGGCGGACGGGUGAGGAAUGCAUAGGAAUCUGCCUAUUAGUGGGGGAUAACACGGGGAAACUCGUGCUAAUACCGCAUACGUCCUACGGGAGAAAGCGGGGGAUCUUCGGACCUCGCGCUAAUAGAUGAGCCUAUGCCGGAUUAGCUAGUUGGUAGGGUAAAGGCCUACCAAGGCGACGAUCCGUAGCUGGUCUGAGAGGAUGAUCAGCCACACUGGGACUGAGACACGGCCCAGACUCCUACGGGAGGCAGCAGUGGGGAAUAUUGGACAAUGGGCGCAAGCCUGAUCCAGCCAUGCCGCGUGUGUGAAGAAGGCCUUCGGGUUGUAAAGCACUUUAAGUGGGGAGGAAGGUUAGUGGUUUAAUACGCUACUAAAUUGACGUUACCCACAGAAUAAGCACCGGCUAACUCUGUGCCAGCAGCCGCGGUAAUACAGAGGGUGCAAGCGUUAAUCGGAAUUACUGGGCGUAAAGCGCGCGUAGGUGGUUUUGUAAGUUGAAUGUGAAAUCCCCGGGCUUAACCUGGGAAUGGCAUCCAAAACUGCACGACUAGAGUAUGGGAGAGGGAGGUAGAAUUCCAGGUGUAGCGGUGAAAUGCGUAGAGAUCUGGAGGAACACCGGUGGCGAAGGCGGCCUCCUGGCCUAAUACUGACACUGAGGUGCGAAAGCGUGGGUAGCAAACAGGAUUAGAUACCCUGGUAGUCCACGCCGUAAACGAUGAGAACUAGCCGUUGGUCUCCUUGAGAGGUUAGUGGCGCAGCUAACGCGAUAAGUUCUCCGCCUGGGGAGUACGGCCGCAAGGUUAAAACUCAAAUGAAUUGACGGGGGCCCGCACAAGCGGUGGAGCAUGUGGUUUAAUUCGACGCAACGCGAAGAACCUUACCUGGUCUUGACAUCCACGGAAUCCUGCAGAGAUGUGGGGGUGCCUUCGGGAACCGUGAGACAGGUGCUGCAUGGCUGUCGUCAGCUCGUGUUGUGUAAUGUUGGGUUAAGUCCCGUAACGAGCGCAACCCUUGUCCUUAGUUGCCAGCGAGUAAUGUCGGGAACUCUAAGGAGACUGCCGGUGACAAACCGGAGGAAGGUGGGGACGACGUCAAGUCAUCAUGGCCCUUACGACCAGGGCUACACACGUGCUACAAUGGCCGGUACAGAGGGUUGCCAAGCCGCGAGGUGGAGCCAAUCCCGAAAAGCCGGUCGUAGUCCGGAUUGCAGUCUGCAACUCGACUGCAUGAAGUCGGAAUCGCUAGUAAUCGCAGAUCAGAAUGCUGCGGUGAAUACGUUCCCGGGCCUUGUACACACCGCCCGUCACACCAUGGGAGUGGGUUGCACCAGAAGUAGUUAGCUUAACCG